UACGUAGGGGGCAAGCGUUGUCCGGAUUUAUUGGGCGUAAAGAGCUCGUAGGCGGCUUGUCACGUCGAUUGUGAAAGCCCGAGGCUUAACCUCGGGUCUGCAGUCGAUACGGGCUAGCUAGAGUGUGGUAGGGGAGAUCGGAAUUCCUGGUGUAGCGGUGAAAUGCGCAGAUAUCAGGAGGAACACCGGUGGCGAAGGCGGGAUCUCUGGGGCC
rnacentral:rRNA from 1 species